CAGUCUAAGGGGCUCUGUCUGAUGGACUCUGGCUGUCUGCCUUCCAGGGGAAUGAGAUCAACCUUGAGAAGAGGACUGAGGAAUACCGAGUCAUGAGGGAGAUCCUACUGCUCCAGGUCGCUGCAAAGAAUUAUAACGAGACUCCGAGGAGUGAUUUGGGGUCUGGUUCCAGGACAUGGAGCUGCUCAACGAGAAUGAGUCAAACACCAAGGGUAGAGGUCUUCAAGAGAUCAAGUCUAAUCUACCUACGGGUGUGGCAGGCUUAACUAUGGAUGUUCAAGCCAGACAUUGCCAGAAGAACUUCAUCUCUUCACCCAUAGGUGAGUUUUUACUAGUAAUCACAGAAACUUAAGGAUAUCAAAGGAAAUUUUUUAUUAAGAACCCAAGUUAUAGAUUCCUCUCUUAGGUUCAUUACUUUGAAUUUUUGACUCAAAUCAUAUAUAUCGAUUGGACCAUGUUCAAUUCUAUGAUCUUUAGAAGAUGCAGCCUACAGCUGAAGAGAAACAGAUACAACACCAAUAUCUUAUCCUCUCUGAAGCCAAACUGAGAGCCCCUGAAGUCAGAAGUUUUCAAGAAAAGAAAAAGUCAUCUGUCUUCGGAAGAGAGACAGUAGAGGCUAGUCAAACAUUCAACUUUAAAUUGUUAACAUGACUUGUUACAAUGUGAUGGAGCACACCUUCUAAGUUUCAUGAUUUUUCUCCAGAAUAUUGAGAUGGAUGACCUUGAAGUCCAGUUUC